GCCAGAACAGCGAAGUCGAGAGAGGGGCUUGCCACGUGCUGGGAUAAAGUCCUUGCAGUAGAGCUGAAAGCGACAAAAGUUGAGACGCCCCAGGCGGCGGAAAUAACGUGAAAAAGAGCCGGAUCGUCACCGGCAGGUCUCCAAGCCACGAGGACGAGAAGCAGGCAAGCAUGAAAUGCUAAUCCGACCACUGUAAUGGGAAAUGGAAAUCAACAUCGUUAAUUAAUACUUUUACGGAGCCUCACAAAUUCAAUCAAUGAAGAUAUUUCGAUCAUCGACGCGGUUACUUUUCCUACCAGUGAUCUUUCAAGAACGAAGAUUUACGCGUUUCACGCCAAUGCAAGAAUCUUCUGGCUGGAUUAUACCUGAGUUUAUAUAAAGAAAUAGAAAUAGAAAAAGGCAAGCAAUGAAAGAAUUGAAAAGGGGUUUCACGUUGA